AGACAAACAAGACUUAAGAGGAGUAAUUGGUCUCAUUGAUUUUAGAGAGGAAAUUCUAGGCUGAAAAAUUUUCAUCAGUAACCAGUGAAGGUAGCUUAAGUGUCUUUGACUUGAAUAAAGUAGGGUCAAACGGGUCGUGACCGUUAGUUCACUUGUAAGUGGCAGUAAACAAAGACUGCAAUUUAGGUGGUACCGCGUAAAUAGCGCCCUAAGA
rnacentral:ncRNA from 1 species